UGUGGAAUGUGGAUUCAUACAAAUUUUGAGUUUUCGAGGUGAAAAUAAGUCAAACUGAAAAUAGGGUUUUUGUUGGAAAUAUCCCAUCUCAUAUUAAGUAAGUUUUUCACAGAAAAUUUCAUGAAAAUUUGAGUUUUAAGGACAGAGCCCAAAUUCAAACCUCAUUUCACCAUUUCGUUACAUUUUCGAAAUCAAAUCAGUGCAAUUCCAAAGCUUUAACAUUUCUCAAUGAUAUUCCGCAACUUUAUACUAAUCACCUCGCUAGGCCUAGAACCUUUUGUGAAAAUCAUUACAGAAUCAUUUUCUGUUAUUCUUUGCAGAGUUACUCCAAGAUCAACGAUUUCAGAAUGGAAUUAUAUUUCCUCACAUAGAACAGAGCGUGGUUCGUUACAACACUCGAACUUGACAUUUUUCCAUUUUCUCAAAGGGAAGUGAGGAAAUCUGCAUUGAAAGUUGAAACGAGCAUUGUACUAAAUCUUAUAUUGAAAUUGAUUAACUUGUUUAUAAAAGUUAAUACAAUCUACAUACAUUUAUUAUUUAUGAAAAGAAAACUAUUCGAGUUUCGUCGUCCAUUGACAUAGUUUUUAUUUCUCCUUUAUAAAAACAAUUAUCGAGCACCGAGGACGCGAACGGGACGUGAUGUAUUCAUCUCGCAAAGUAUUAACUUUCUGUUUAGUGUGUUAUUUCAUCGUACUCAGUGGUGUCGUGAAGCUAGAUUUGGCAGAUGCUGCGCUGGUGGUAAAUUGCGAAUGUCGAGUUAGAGACACGAUUCCUUUCCUUCAUGAAAUCGCUAGACAACAACAUGCUGGAAAAGUAUCCAGCGAGAUUACUAUUAACGGGGAGAGUUGCGACUGCAGCACUGAAUAUGGUGAAAAAGACGAGAUUAAUAUUAAAAAUCUCAAUGAAAAGUAAUAAAUCCGAUUACUCUUCUUUACGUAAUGAUAUUUUCUACGAGUAAAUAACACUUAUGAGUUUUUAAUUACCCUAUUACCGCAUUAACUUUGAUAAUUUUAUCUGUUAUUUUUUUCCUCAUUCCUCAUGUACUCGGAGCACGCGAACAGUUAUUAAAUAAGAUGUUUUUUUUCUUUUACCACGUUGAUUAAAGCAAAUUAACCCUUUA